UAAGCCUCUACUAAGGUUUUGCUUCCUUUC
rnacentral:piRNA from 1 species